rnacentral:rRNA from 1 species
UACAGAGACUGCGAGCGUUAUUCGGAUUCACUGGGCGUAAAGGGUGCGCAGGCGGCCGUGUGUGUAAGGUGUGAAAUCCCGGGGCUCAACCCCGGAACUGCGCCUUAAACUACAUGGCUAGAGUACUGGAGAGGGUAACGGAAUUCACGGUGUAGCAGUGAAAUGCGUAGAUAUCGUGAGGAACACCAGAGGCGAAGGCGGUUACCUGGACAGUUACUGACGCUCAGGCACGAAAGCAUGGGGAGCAAAAGGG